rnacentral:lncRNA from 1 species
AAAACAAGAUUAUACAUUAAUACAAGUUUCUGCAACUUCAAAACCAAAGGAUAUUUAGGAUAAAACGAAAAAAAUUUAUAGUUGAUAGCAAAACUGUCAAUCUUUCAACAUUUCUCCUUGGUAAUUUUGUUAUCACUUGCCAAGUAUCUUUCUUAAGACUUUAAAACUGUGCUUGGAAAAUUGUUUGGUAAAGAUAUCAGUCAGUUGCUCUUUAAAAUUGCAAUGUUGCAAACAAACUUCUUCUUCCUUAUCUUCUUCUCUCACACUGAUAUUUAAUCUUGAUGUGCUUAGUCUCACCAUGAAACACAUGAUUCUUGAUAAUGGCUGCAGCUGAUUGAUUCUGUUAUUAUUGAGCUUAUUUAGGAUUCCUUAUUCAGGAAAUCCUCUUGUAUAA